rnacentral:rRNA from 1 species
UCUAAGUAUAAGCAAUUAUACAGCGAAACUGCGAAUGGCUCAUUAUAUAAGUUAUCGUUUAUUUGAUAAUACCUUACUACUUGGAUAACCGUGGUAAUUCUAGAGCUAAUACAUGCUAAAAAUCCCGACUUCGGAAGGGUUGUAUUUAUUAGAUUAAAAACCAAUGCCCCUCGGGGCUCUCUGGUGAAUCAUGAUAACUAGUCGAAUCGACAGGCCUUGUGCCGGCGAUGGCUCAUUCAAAUUUCUUCCCUAUCAACUUUCGAUGUUUGGGUAUUGGCCAAACAUGGUGGCAACGGGUAACGGAGGGUUAGGGCUCGACCCCGGAGAAGGAGCCUGAGAAACGGCUACUACAUCCAAGGAAGGCAGCAGGCGCGCAAAUUACCCAAUCCCGACACGGGGAGGUAGUGACAAUAAAUACUGAUACAGGGCUCUUUUGGGUCUUGUAAUCGGAAUGAGUACAAUUUAAAUCCCUUAACGAGGAACAAUUGGAGGGCAAGUCUGGUGCCAGCAGCCGCGGUAAUUCCAGCUCCAAUAGCGUAUAUUAAAGUUGUUGUGGUUAAAAAGCUCGUAGUUGAACCUUGGGCCUGGCUGGCCGGUCCGCCUCACCGCGUGCACUGGUCCGGCCGGGCCUUUCCCUCUGCGGAACCCCAUGCCCUUCACUGGGCGUGGCGGGGAAACAGGACUUUUACUUUGAAAAAAUUAGAGUGCUCAAGGCAGGCCUAUGCUCGAAUACAUUAGCAUGGAAUAAUGAAAUAGGACGUUGCGGUUCUAUUUUGUUGGUUUCUAGGACCGCCGUAAUGAUUAAUAGGGACAGUCGGGGGCAUCAGUAUUCAAUUGUCAGAGGUGAAAUUCUUGGAUUUAUUGAAGACUAACUACUGCGAAAGCAUUUGCCAAGGAUGUUUUCAUUAAUCAGGAACGAAAGUUAGGGGAUCGAAGACGAUCAGAUACCGUCGUAGUCUUAACCAUAAACUAUGCCGACUAGGGAUCGGACGAUGUUAUAUUUUUUGACGCGUUCGGCACCUUACGAGAAAUCAAAGUGCUUGGGCUCCAGGGGGAG